rnacentral:rRNA from 1 species
AUUGAACGCUGGCGGCAGGCCUAACACAUGCAAGUCGAGCGAGCGGCGGACGGGUGAGUAAUGUCUGGGAAACUGCCUGAUGGAGGGGGAUAACUACUGGAAACGGUAGCUAAUACCGCAUACCAUCAGAUGUGCCCAGAUGGGAUUAGCUAGUAGGUGGGGUAACGGCUCACCUAGGCGACGAUCCCUAGCUGGCAUGAGAGGAUGACCAGCCACACGUGAACUGAGACACGGUCCAGACUCCGAUGGGAGGCAGCAGUGGGGAAUUUUGCACAAGGGGCGCAAGCCUGUGGCAGCCUUGCCGCGUGUGUGAAGAAGGCCUUCGGUUUGUAAAGCACUUUCAGCGGGGAGGCUUUACCCGCAGAAGAAGCACCGGCUAACUCCGGGCAAGCAGCCGCGGUAAUAC